UAAUACCCUAUAGGUUACAGAUGCUGGAAUGCUCUGUAACUCAAAGCUCCGGCGCCUUAGGAUGGAUCUGCGGCCGAUUAGGUUGUUGUUGGGGUAACGGCCCAACAAGCCAGUAAUCGGUACGGGUUGUGGGAGCAAGAGCCCGGAGUUGGAUUCUGAGACACGAAUCCAGGCCCUACGGGGCGCAGCAGGCGCGAAAACUUUACAAUGCGGGCAACCGUGAUAAGGGAACCUCGAGUGCCUGUAUAUGCAGGCUGUCCAGGUGUCUAAAGCACACCUGAAGAAAGGGCCGGGCAAGACCGGUGCCAGCCGCCGCGGUAAUACCGGCGGCUCGAGUGGUGGCCACUUUUAUUGGGCUUACAGCGUUCGUAGCUGGGUUGUUAAGUCUCUUGGGAAAUCCGACGGCUCAACCGUCGGGCGUCUAAGGGAUACUGGCAAUCUUGGAACCGGGAGAGGUGAGGGGUACUUCGGGGGUAGGAGUGAAAUCCUGUAAUCCUCGAGGGACCACCUGUGGCGAAGGCGCCUCACCAGAACGGCUUCGACAGUGAGGGACGAAAGCUGGGGGAGCAAACCGGAUUAGAUACCCGGGUAGUCCCAGACGUAAACGAUGUGCGUUAGGUGU
rnacentral:rRNA from 1 species